UACGAAGGGUGCAAGCGUUACUCGGAAUUACUGGGCGUAAAGCGUGCGUAGGUGGUGCGUUAAGUCUGUCGUGAAAGCCCCGGGCUCAACCUGGGAAUGGCGAUGGAUACUGGCGCGCUAGAGUGCGGUAGAGGAGAGUGGAAUUCCCGGUGUAGCAGUGAAAUGCGCAGAUAUCAGGAGGAACACCAAUUGCGAAGGCAGCUCGCUGGGACGUUACCGACGCUGAGACGCGAAAGCGUGGGGAGCAAACAGG
rnacentral:rRNA from 1 species